GUAGGAACGCAGCGGUCUGUGUCCCUGCUUUUCCACCCUGCGGAAUCUUUGUGAUGUCUGGUGCUGGGAGAAGCAGGCGCUGUCCAGAGGAAUCUGGGGUAAAUGAACUAAAGCCUGCCUGUGUUUGGGGCUUCCAAGACUGAGUGGCUGCUGAAUUGACUUUAUCCUUAACACAGAAGAUACUGCUUUGGACUCCCUGUUUGCUUUAUGAGUAGUGUCUCUGAGGAAGGAAAAGGAAAUAUAAUGAAAAAGAGUUCAGAAAAUUUCAGAGUCUCUUACCAGUGUUCUGAAAGAAUGAUGGCAAAGGAAGAGACAUGAAAGACUUGGAAAGGGUUGCUGUACCCAAAUGGUGGUACGAAGUGUAUGAUCAUGGAGGAUUGGACCCACAAAUUCCAGAACAAAGCUGUGCCAUCUCAGGACCCUGCCAUUUCCCAAAAAAGGUAUCUUGUUACCAGACAACAAGUCCCAGAACUCCAUGCAGGUGGUUUAGGACUUUGUGUCACUCAAGGAUGUAGCUGUUAACUUUGCUGAGGAAGAGUGGAGAGAGCUGGACUCUGCUCAGAGAGCUUCGUACAGGGAUCUCAUGCUAGAAAAUUGCAAGAAUCUGGUCUUCUUGGCUUACUGACUUGGUCAUCGCCUUGGUCCUCAUGAUUGCAAGAUGCUGCUGCAGCCUGAAAAGCUGAGCUGUCCAUCAAUUUGGAAAGGAAGUCAGAGUUUCAGACAUCUUGUACAUGUAGGGGUGGCAGUUGUUUGGGACCUGUUUCAUAUCUUGUAUGUAUUUUGUUACCUCUAUGGUAUCUAGCAUUAAGCAUCAAAUGGAUGCAGAGUAAAUAAUGAAUGAAUGAAAGCUGCUCUGGAUGAAGAGGGGACAGGCAAGUGGAAAUAUUUUCUAAGUUAUUUAUUGGAUCAGACCUGGCUUUUGGACAAAUGAACACACUCAAAGGGCACUUUAUGGUUAGGAAAGGAUGAAAUGAGGAAAGAUGUUUCAGGAGGGAGAGGAAGUGCUAGUUCACUGGAGAGUAUUGUGCCCAUUUCCUCCUUUUCUCAGGAGUAGAAGGCCUCUGAGAAGACAGCUGAAGUACAGAUAGUGACUGAGAUGUAGAGAGUUCCACUGUUCCACCUCCAGCCAAAUCAAAAGAAACUUUCCCAGAUCUGUUGAAUGACUACCUCACUGUGAGAGACUCCUAUCCCAGGAUCAGCAAGAAGG